UACGUAGGGAGCAAGCGUUGUCCGGAAUCAUUGGGCGUAAAGAGCGCGUAGGCGGCCGUGUAAGUCCGCUCUGAAAGUCGGAGGCUCAACCUCCGAAAGCGGGUGGAUACUGCACGGCUAGAGUUCGGAAGAGGCGAGUGGAAUUCCUGGUGUAGCGGUGAAAUGCGCAGAUAUCAGGAGGAACACCAAUUGCGAAGGCAGCUCGCUGGGACGUUACUGACGCUGAGACGCGAAAGCGUGGGGAGCAAACAGG
rnacentral:rRNA from 1 species